rnacentral:rRNA from 1 species
UGGGGGAUAUUGCACAAUGGGCGAAAGCCUGAUGCAGCGACGCCGCGUGGGGGAUGAAGGCUUUCGGGUUGUAAACCUCUUUCGCUAUCGAACAAGGCCCGCUUAGGGUGGGUUGAGGGUAGGUGGAGAAGAAGCGCCGGCUAACUACGUGCCAGCAGCCGCGGUAAUACGUAGGGCGCGAGCGUUGUCCGGAAUUAUUGGGCGUAAAGGGCUUGUAGGCGGUUUGUUGCGCCUGCUGUGAAAACGCGGGGCUUAACUUCGCGCGUGCAGUGGGUACGGGCAGGCUUGAGUGUGGUAGGGGUGACUGGAAUUCCAAGUGUAGCGGUGGAAUGCGCAGAUAUCUGGAGGAACACCGAUGGCGAAGGCAGGUCACUGGGCCAUUACUGACGCUGAGGAGCGAAAGCAUGGGUAGCGAACAGG